AAGGCGAUGACGGGUAGCCGGCCUGAGAGGGCGACCGGCCACACUGGGACUGAGACACGGCCCAGACUCCUACGGGAGGCAGCAGUGGGGAAUAUUGCACAAUGGGCGAAAGCCUGAUGCAGCGACGCCGCGUGAGGGAUGACGGCCUUCGGGUUGUAAACCUCUUUCAGCAGGGACGAAGCGCAAGUGACUGUACCUGCAGAAGAAGCACCGGCUAACUACGUGCCAGCAGCCGCGGUAAUACGUAGGGUGCGAGCGUUGUCCGGAUUUAUUGGGCGUAAAGAGCUUGUAGGCGGCUCGUCACGUCGGGUGUGAAAACUCGCGGCUCAACCGCGAGCCUGCACCCGAUACGGGCGAGCUAGAGUUCGGCAGGGGAGACUGGAAUUCCUGGUGUAGCGGUGGAAUGCGCAGAUAUCAGGAGGAACACCGGUGGCGAAGGCGGGUCUCUGGGCCGAUACUGACGCUGAGAAGCGAAAGCGUGGGGAGCGAAC
rnacentral:rRNA from 1 species